AUUGAACGCUGGCGGCAUGCCUUACACAUGCAAGUCGAACGGUAACAGGUCUUCGGAUGCUGACGGGUGGCGAACGGGUGAGUAAUACAUCGGAACGUGCCUAGUAGUGGGGGAUAACUACUCGAAAGAGUGGCCAAUACCGCAUGAGAUCUACGGAUGAAAGCAGGGGAUCGCAAGACCUUGUGCUACUAGAGCGGCCGAUGGCAGAUUAGGUAGUUGGUGGGAUAAAAGCUUACCAAGCCGACGAUCUGUAGCUGGUCUGAGAGGACGAUCAGCCACACUGGGACUGAGACACGGCCCAGACUCCUACGGGAGGCAGCAGUGGGGAAUUUUGGACAAUGGGCGCAAGCCUGAUCCAGCAAUGCCGCGUGCAGGAUGCAGGCCUUCGGGUUGUAAACUGCUUUUGUACGGAACGAAAAGCCCUGGGUUAAUACCCUGGGGUCAUGACGGUACCGUAAGAAUAAGCACCGGCUGACUACGUGCCAGCCGCCGCGGUAACAC
rnacentral:rRNA from 1 species